AAAUAUUUUGAUAACUACAUUUUAAUGUAAUCUAUUUCCUUCACAUCCUUAUGUAAUUAGUGCUAUGCAGUUAAAAAUACAAGGCUCUCACAGACAUCCAAAGGGUCUAUGAAGAAGUUUAAGCAUCUUUCAUCUAGCUCUUUUCUCCUCAUUUCUGGCUUGGGUCCUUUAAGUGCUUGUUCCUCCUGCCUGGAGCGCCUCUCUCCCUGCUUCUCUCUCAUGGCUGGACUGUCACUUACAGCUCCUUCUUCACAGGACAUCCCAGAUCUACCCCUCGACCUUUUGUCUCACGGGCACUUGUUUUGUUCCUUUAUGACUUAUCUCACUCUCAGAAAUGAUAUUUGUAUGCAUUUAAAAAAAUCCUUCUGUCCUAGCAGGUAAGCCUUCUUAGAAUAUUGCUUGCACCUGGCCUGUCUAUGUCUCUAGUCCUAUUUUCUAGAAUCCUUAAGUUACACUCAAUAGAUAUUGGCUGAGAAAACAAAUCCUUGCAAACCAGGGAAUAUCUCUAGGUAGAAUUAAGAUGAACAGGACACACACACACACACACACACACACACACACGUAAACACAGAAUCUUCCCAUCCAAUACAGUAAAACAGGUCUUGCUAGAUAUACAUGCAGGAUAUAGACUGGCUGGCCUCGCUGACAGUAGGCAUACCCUAGUACACAGAGGGCUAGAAUCUUCUCUAGGCUCUACUUGAAACAAUGCUUAAACCCACGAGCUGUGCCAGUGCUGAUGACUCCUGAUGUUGCUGGAUAACUCUGUGCAUCACUUUCAUAGGCAGCCCUUACUGCAGGAGCAGUUUGGAUGAUGCUGUACAUCUCCGCCGGCACCAUAUUCUCAGAAUAUCCCAGAGACACAGGACAAGGUAAGAAGCACCUUCUAAAGUAUCUCCCACAUUUUCUUAAGAUAGAUAGUCCUUGGUGAUGGUCCAGCAUGAUUCUCUGGGGUUUCCUGAGUUGGAGAUGGUGAUAGGCUUGGCUGCCUGAGAGUAAGAUUUCUGUUUAGACCCUGAGCACUGCCCACCCUGUGAAAAAGUUCAAAGAUCAAAGAAAGGCAUAAAAUGUGAGAUUUUAGAAACGAACUCUGUGAGACACAAGGCAGUAGAACGAGACAGCAAGUACACUGAAGGAAUGGACUUAGGGAAGGAGCUUGCCGAGGAAGAAUGGCAAGGACUCUAACAGUAUUAAAAAGUCAGCGUGCAAAUCAUUUUCAUGAAAUGAGAGACAAUAUGAACAAGGUUUCAUCAUCUUACCAUGAUAGGGAGAGAGCCAACCUUCCAGAGGGAAAACCCACUACCAGCCCUGAACCAGUUUCCAGCUGCUAAAGGGGAGGUGGCUGUGCCUAGGAGUAGGAGAGGUUCAAUGCUCAGAGCGGCAGCCCAGGCAACGGCAGGAGGUACCUGGCAGGUCACCGUGAACACAAGCAAUCAAGAAGUGAAGAGCACCCACAGCCAGGAGGCUCACAAUCCUGCUCCUGUGAAUUCAAAGCUGGAUCUUGCAAAUCCUGUGCCAAGUCAAGGAGGCCAAUCUCAAAGGGCGAGCAAGAGCCAUGGGCUGGAGGUGCGGGCAGAUGAGCUGUGUGAUGUCUCUCUGGGGCGCAGUGGAAACAUUCUAAUAUUGGCUGUGGAGAUGGUUAUUCAGCUCUUUGGUUACACUGAAUGCCACUGAGUUGGUAUGAUUUAAAUGUGGGGUUUCAUGACAUGUGAAUUCUACUUCAAUGUGCAAAGCUGUUUAAAAAAAAUGGAGACUGGAAAAAUGCUGUGUUUAAAAACACCUGAAGCCCCCUCCUAUAGGUUUCCUCAUAGAAACCUCCAUCUUGCCAGAUGAGCCUUGCAGGUAUGUCCUGUUACCUUAUCAUCCUUCACCUGAUAGGGCUGUGUUCAGAUGAACACCAGGUAUAUCUUACACAUCUGGAAAUGAGUUGUGACAAAUGAGUGACUUCUGGGGUUGGAUGCUAAAGCCACAUAAUUAGGAACAUAAUGGAGCCAUCUUUACUCUUAUCUCUUGAGGCAUUUCUCACACUACCUAUGUGCAAACAGCAAGCCUUUGGAGGGAGGCAGGCAGGCUAGUUAGCAAGUGUCUGUACAUUCCAUCUUACACCUUUCAUGACGAUGUCACUGCCAGGGUCUCCUAUGAAUGAUCUCAGCCUUUCCCUUCCCGGUCCUGCAAGAUUUGAAUCUCAACACUGUUUCCAUCUUCCAGUUGCUACUAUCAUCCCUGAAGGUAAAGUCCCGACACAACACUCACUGAGUGGGAAACACUGUUUCUCAAUCUGAUGGGCGUCUUCACAGGUCUUACAGGUUUAUACAUCCUCCCAAGUGGCAGAGCAUAAAAGCAAACUUAAUCUUUCAGAAUUCAGAAAGGAAGGAAAAAGCUUAAACACAUUUCCCUGUCUUUUGUGUUAUUUGUGUUAUUCACACACAACACGCCUUGUGUUUUUCUCACGUGCCAGCAGAGCAAUCUGACCCUCUAACUCGGUGACGACGGGCAAGGGCUAUCCCAACAAGCUCCCAAGCUUCCCUGCUUUUGGAGCGAGGGCAGCUGUGCAGUAGAGAAGACAAGUGUAGAAAUGCAUGCAUGGUGAAUAACAGGAGGGAAGGUAAGGCUGAGGACCCAGAGACCUGGCAAGGGGCUGCUCUUAUCUUUCCCCAGACCAGCUGUGUCUGUCAAGAACAGGAGGCAGAGACUGAGGCGAUUAUACAAGUAAUUCCAGGGGAGAUGCAGUGUUAUUUUUCAAGGGUUUCGAAACAAAGUUUGACAAAGCAAGUUAUCCCAUUGAGCAUCUUUGGAGAACUCAACCUCACUGUGGUUGGCCACCACCGGGCCCAGAAGGACAGGCAAGGCUCUGCACACUGUUGAGUUUCCUGGCUUUCUAAUGCAUAUCUCCUUUGGAAGUUCUCUCAGAGGAAACCAGUGACGUAAUGAUUCAGAGAAAGGGAGACUCAAGUGUGGAGAAAGAGUAACUGGGUGAAAGGAGAGAGGAAGGGAUAGGCAAAGUACUUUGGAAAUGAAGAACAACCGUUUCUACCUCUGCAUGGGUUAGUAGAGCUAACAUCUAUUUCUCAAUUAGACUAGAGUGUAAGAGACAGGGCGAAAUGCCACUCGGGUUAUCCCAGCACUCAAUCUGGUACAUUUUGGGAAUAAUAAUAAUAACUAUUAUUUGUGAGUGUGUGGCAUGUGUGCCACAACAGGUGUGGAGGUGAGAAGAUGACUUUUGGAGACAGUUCCUUCCACCUUUGUGUGGGUCCUGGGACUGAAGGCAGGUUAUCAGGCUUUUGUGCAAGGGCCUUUACACAUUGAGCCAUGCUGCUGGCCCAGGGAGUUUUUUCUUUUUAAAAAUACACUAUAUUUUAGAGCAGCCUUUGGUUCCUAGAGAAGUAGAAUAGGAACUCCAGAAUCCCCACAUACCACUCUUCCCACUCCUAAUAGCCACUGCAACACGCACCCUCACGUGUUUGAAUACCUGGUGCCUAGCUAGUAGCACUGUUUUGGGAGCUUGUGGAACUUUAGGAGGAGGGGCCCAGCUCAAGGGGAGGCAGGCCUUGUAGGUUAUAGCCUGACCCCAGUUCCAGCUUGUGUGGUCUAAUUCUUGGACAGCCACGAGGAGAGCAAACGGCCUUAUGCCCCUCCUGCACUGGGCAGGAGCUGGCCCUGCUAGUGGACCUUCUCUGCCCUAAUGAACCGUAAACCUUAAGUUGCUUCUGUCGCAGAAAUGAGAAAAGGAACCAAUGCCUGCCGUCAUCAACAUCCUGAACAGAACGGCACACGGGUCAAUCAAUCAGCCUACACUGACACGCCACUGUUCCUGAAAGUCCAUAGGUGACCCCAGAGUUUGCUCUUGGUGUUAAACGUUCUUUGUGUUUGGCAAGUAUGUAGUGACAUAUGUUCACCAUGAUACUGUCAUACUGAAUUAGCUCCACUUCCCUAAAAGGCUUCGGAGUUCCGUCUAUACAUUCUUCCCUCUUGACAACCAGUUUUGGAUUUAAGAGACAAACUGAGUAUCAAUAGGAAACCAGGCUUCAUUAACAGUGUUUUUCAUCUCCCUUUCUUUCCCUCCUUCCUUCCCUCCUCUUAGCCCUGCCUCUAUCCCCUGUGUCAGGGAUGAACCUAGGGCCUUACCUGCCAGGCCCUGCUCUACCAAUGACUAUAUCUUCAACCCUCAUUUCUGUGGAAAACCUGGUGAUUGGCAGGAAGCUGUGGGCUCUGCCUGUGCACAUGCUGUGCUGAUGAGCAAAGGGAGAAGGAUCAGCAAGCAGCCAGCAGGAUUCAGGAGGAAGAUGACUAUCAGCUGCAGGGGUUGGUGACAUUUCGAUGCUCCUCUCUUGGACUCCCCUUUACAAAGCUCUCCUGCCAGCAGUCCAGGGGCAGCUUUCCCUCCACAUCCCCAUUUCCCAUGUAAUAACAUUUAAUUGUCUGCCUUUCAAAGACUCAAGCCCUUAACAGCCAACGUUUGCUGUUCAUACAGGCACACUGGGAGUCAGCCAUGGGAGCGCAGUCUCCUUGUGUUGACUUCCUCUUUCUCUCUGUCCAGAUGUGUUUAAAGAAAACCUGGCUGGAUUUUCUUGCCAUGUGGGAAUAUGUAGGGAUGGAUUUGAGAAGAGCACAGACAUUUUGUCUGCUGCUAAGAGGCUGCUCUGGGAAGGGCUGCUGCUAAUGUCUGGCCAGCAGGUGCACACCUGUUUGCUGGCUCUGCUUUGCCUUCAUUCUGCUUUUUGAAACACAGAAAGGUGAAAAUAAAGUCACAUGCA